rnacentral:rRNA from 1 species
AGUGAACGCUGGCGGCAGGCCUAAUACAUGCAAGUCGAACGGUAACGGGCCUUCGGGCGCCGACGAGUGGCGAACGGGUGAGUAAUGUAUCGGAACGUACCUUUCAGUGGGGGAUAACGUAGCGAAAGUUACGCUAAUACCGCAUAUUCUGUGAGCAGGAAAGCAGGGAAUCGCAAGACCUUGCGCUGAUUGAGCGGCCGAUAUCAGAUUAGCUAGUUGGUGAGGUAAAGGCUCACCAAGGCGACGAUCUGUAGCGGGUCUGAGAGGAUGAUCCGCCACACUGGGACUGAGACACGGCCCAGACUCCUACGGGAGGCAGCAGUGGGGAAUAUUGCACAAUGGGCGAAAGCCUGAUGCAGCGACGCCGCGUGAAGGAUGAAGGUCUUCGGAUUGUAAACUUCUAUCAGCAGGGAAGAAAGGGCUUAUAGCCUAUGACGGUACCUGACUAAGAAGCCCCGGCUAACUACGUGCCAGCAGCCGCGGUAA